GCUUCACGGAGUCGAUUUCAUCGCUGGUUUUCUUCUACGUGUAUCAUUUGAAUAACCCUUUAUUCAACGAUGAAUUGUCUAUUAUGCUUUAUAGCGUGGCAUGAAUUACAGAUGUCAAGCCUGCAAUAAAACACCUCAUCUGCGAACUGCCCUUUUUUCUUCUUUUUGUUUUCGGUCUCCGUAGAUUGUUAUUUAGGGUCUGCUUUGUUCCAACCACCCAAGCGAAGGGAAACCUAGAGUCAAUAAUAUAAUGUAGAAAUGUGAUUCUUAUGUCGAUAAUAAUCAUGGUAUUGUGAGCAAAUUGAAUUUGUGACACUAAUUUCGCAUGGGUUGCCCUCUUAUUUGAGGUUACAUUUGCCAGCAAUGGAAGUCCCUGAUUGUCCAGUAUGUUGGGACAGGUUUGAUGUCAAUAAUCGUAUGCCUCGUUUGUUAUACUGUGGGCAUACAGUAUGUCAGCUCUGCUUGGAAUACCUCCCAACUGAAACCAGUCUUGGACAAAGAUGGAUACGUUGCCCAGAAUGUCGCAUUCCAUGUGUGUGGAGGGGUGUUCAGCAGCUGCCUAAGAACUAUAUACUGCUACAUGCAUUGGAUUCAUUUCCAGAUACAAACAGAGGACAACCCGUGGCAAAUUUGGUUUCAGCAUUCCUGUCACACAUACAGAUUUUAUUUCCAUUUCCAAACUUUGUUUGGGUAGAUGGUAUAACAUCUCAUAGGUUGUUCAAGCAAAAGGUUUGGGAACUGGUUAAACUCACAAGCAUUGCAGCAUUGGUCUUCUUAUUUGUUCCAAUGUCGUUCAUGCAUUUGCUGUUAGCAUGGUGGACUGCAGCGAUUGGGUUCCUCAUUUUCUUGUGGUUAUUUGUAGCAGGUGCUGGAUUUUGUAUUUUCAUAUUUUUUCUCUGGUGUUCCUAUAAUGUUUUUUCUGGUGUAUGUAAAUACCAUAAGUUCAUUUUCAAGGAGAUAAGAAUUUUGUUGAAAUCAAUUAUCUCUUUCUCUAAUCUCCCUUGACAGAUGAGUAUUAACAUAGAGUGAGCAUCAUUGUAUGCUCGUCUGUACUAAUCUUCCAACACUGAUGUGAGUACAUAAGUAUGCUUAAAAUUUGCACCACUAUUUAGUAAUUUUAAUAAAGUGUAAGUUCCUUCAUUUUACGCAGUAUUCUCUUCAUCAUUUGUCAGAUCUUUGGCAGUUUAUGUUUUCAUAAAAUGUAUUUAUAGAUGCUAUACGAGAUUCAUAUAGGUCUGGCCAGUUAUGAUUUCACAUACAUGUCAGAGGUGCCAGAAGCAGGUAGUUGAUACAGUUCUAAUAAAGAAUGGGACAAUGAUGCUACGAAGGAUUAAUUUCAAUUCAUUAGGUAAUAUUGAAGAAGGGAACCGUGGGGAUAUGAGAGAGCAUGAACAUCUGCCUUAAUGUAUGCGAAUUCUGGUUCAUUAGAAGAGAAUGAUUCAUCCAAACAUCUUUUCAUAAUGAUCAAAUCUGUAUCUUUAAAAUAUCUGAAAAUUGCUACGAAGAAACCCUGUGUAUAGGGGUAUAAUUCCAAUAUGCUUUCUAUGAACGGUGUCCAAUUAUUGAAAAUGCAACUAUGCAUGUGGAAUGCUGGGUUAAAAUUUAUUAUAUUUAUAAAUCACACCAUUUCUUUGCA